ACCGUCCAGCAGCUCUCGGCCGGAGGAGACGGCAGUGUGUGCCAGCAGGGGGCAGCAGUAUUAGUGCAGGAGAGUCCAGCGGGAGGCAGCACUGAGGGGUUUAAGGGGUCCGGAGCUCCGGGGGCAGACUUGAUGUCAUCUGCCCCGGGGAUAAUGGGGGAGUAUGACGGAAGGGGAGGGGCAACAGGUAAUAAAAAAUAUAAAGAUGUGUACACAUUUAGUUUCUUUGCACAUAAAAGACUUUUUUAAAGUCGGGGUUUCUGUUUUUCUGUCUGAGCUGAAUAAUGUGAUUUUGAUCCAGAUUAAGAAAUGCGGUGUUAAACCUGACUAAUGUGUUUUUUUAAAAUGCUUUUUAAAUAGAGAAUUGCUGCCAUUAGAAUACGACUCUCUGCAGAAGAUAUAUAAACAUGAGGCUGUUUUUGCACCAGGAGUAAAUUCUGAUCUGUGGAGCAGUGGAACUGUGUUCUACAUUGGGAUGGAAUGAGUUGGGAAUGACCUCAAUAACAUUCUUGUUGCUGAAAGCAGUUAAAUCCUCACAGCAAUUCUCUGAGUGAAGAAUCUAGUAGAAAGUAUUUCUGGACAGUAGAGACAGUUACUCCAACAAAAGCAGGAUAAACUCUUUUAAUACCCAUAAUGCCAUGCAUCUUUUUAAAGUGUGUGUGUGUGUGUGUGUGUAGCUUUAACUGAAAGUGGAGGAGUCCGUCCUUCAUCUGCCCUUCCCCUGACGCUAACACCGGCAGCAUACACACAACCCUGCCAGGUACACACACACACACACACACCUUACACUAUUACACACAGCCCAGCCAGGUACACACACUCAGCACUGUGUGUGUGUGUGUGUGUUUGUGUGUGUGCGUGUGUGUUUGUGUGUACACGUGUGUGUGUGUGUGUGUGUGUGUGUCUGUUUGUGUGUACACGUGUGUGUGUUUGUGUGUGUGUUUGUGUGUACACAUGUGUGUGUUUGUGUGUACACAUGUGUGUUUGUGUGUGUGCACGUGUGUGUGUGUGUUUGUGUGUUUGUGUGUACACGUGUGUGUGUUUGUGUGUGUGUGUGUUUGUGUGUGUAGGCUACACUGCCCCAGCAGGUUGAGACAGCAGGAAAGCCUCAGCCGGCGACUCCAGGAACAGCGUUUGAGCGACAGCAGUACCGUGACUGUUUAAGUAAUUAGUGUUGCUCGUUCCUGUAGCUGAUCCUGAUGUAUCCACCUAUCAGUAUGAUGAAAGCUCGGGAUAUUACUAUGACCCUUUCACUGGCCUCUACUACGAUCCAAACUCUCAGGUAACAGUAUUACACUUGUAACACCAUUACACCCAUUGCAGCACCCCAUCAUGGCAGGGCCCCCCCAUCACAGGGUCUCCCAUAACCCUAUCGCAGAUUCCCCCGAUUCCCCCAUCGCAAAGUUCCCUAUUCCCCAUCACUGAUUCCCCCAUUA
rnacentral:lncRNA from 1 species